rnacentral:rRNA from 1 species
UACGGGAGGCAGCAGUGGGGAAUAUUGCACAAUGGGCGCAAGCCUGAUGCAGCCAUGCCGCGUGUAUGAAGAAGGCCUUCGGGUUGUAAAGUACUUUUCAGUCGUGAGGAAGGUGUUAAGGUUAAUAACCUUAGCAAUUGACGUUAGCGACAGAAGAAGCACCGGCUAACUCCGUGCCAGCAGCCGCGGUAAUACGGAGGGUGCGAGCGUUAAUCGGAAUUACUGGGCGUAAAGGGCACGCAGGCGGUUAAUUAAGUUGGAUGUGAAAUCCCCGGGCUUAACCUGGGAAUGGCAUUCAAGACUGGUUAGCUAGAGUCUUGUAGAGGGGGUAGAAUUCCAUGUGUAGCGGUGAAAUGCGUAGAGAUGUGGAGGAAUACCGGUGGCGAAGGCGGCCCCUGGACAAAGGCUGACGCUCAUGUGCGAAAGCGUGGGGAGCAAACAGGGAUUAGAU